CAGGUUGUGGGACUCGUUGUAUUUUGCUUUUCAUUCUUCGAGGAGUACGUACGCCACUUGCUGCUCAUUCUUUGAGAGCUCUUUAUUUUUAGUCGGUACACACUGACUUCGAAGACAAGUCCGAUUCUUCUUCUUUUCAGCCGAUCCUUCUUCUUUUUAUUAGUAGUUCUAUUUAUUUUACAUCGUCAUUUCGGCCUUAUCCUCUUUCGAAUAUCUUUUCUGUAUAUGAUUCAUCGUGUGUUU